UUGGAGGGCAAGUCUGGUGCCAGCAGCCGCGGUAAUUCCAGCUCCAAUAGCGUAUAUUAAAGUUGUUGCGGUUAAAAAGCUCGUAGUCUGAGUUCAGUUCCGGACUGGUCGGGGAGGUCACCGCCCGGUGCUUGCCCGUAUCAGGUUCCGAACCGCCCACCCGCCGCGUGCGGGGGCCAAGCCGGUUCAGCCGGGGUGCUCUUGACCGAGUGUCCCGCGCGGCCGGCCGCUUCACCUUGAACAAAUGAGAGUGCUCAAAGCAGGCUACUCUUGACACUAAAGCCCGAAUGUUAACUGCAUGGAAUGAUGGAAGAUGAUCUCGGUUCCAUUUUGCUGGGCCCCUUUGGGAAUCCGAGUUAAUGAUAAACAGGGACUGUCGGGGGCAUCCGUACUACGACGCGAGAGGUGAAAUUCAGUGACCGUCGUAGGACGAACAACAGCGAAAGCAUUUGCCAAGAAUGUCUUCGUUGAUCAAGAACGAAAGUUAGAGGAUCGAAGGCGAUCAGAUACCGCCCUAGUUCUAACCCUAAACGAUGCUGACCAGCUAUUCGUUAGCGUUAUUCCCAUGACGUGGCGAGACGCCCCCGGGAAACCUCRAGUCUUUGAGUUCCGGGGGUAGUAUGGUUGCAAAACUGAAACUUAAAGGAAUUGACGGAAGGGCACCACCAGGAGUGGAGCCUGCGGCUUAAUUUGACUCAACACGGGAAACCUCACCAGGCCCGGACACCAGAAGGAUUGACAGAUUAAGAGCUCUUUCUCGAUUUGGUGGGUGGUGGUGCAUGGCCGUUCUUAGUUGGUGGAGUGAUUUGUCUGGUUAAUUCCGGUAACGAACGAGACUCUGGCCUACUAACUAGUGGAUGGGGUAACUUUUG
rnacentral:rRNA from 1 species